GUUGGGUUUUUGUUCGGGUUCAAAGAAUAAUAAUAUGAGAUUAAAUUAAUUGAGCUUGUGUCGAGUUUGGGAUAUGCGGGUAGGCUCGAUUCGGUUCUGGGUUUCUUUGAUCUUAACAUACCUAAUGUCGGUCUACUAGUGGGUUCUCAUCUAGGAAAAGUGGGGAAGUUGAAACCGCCAAAAAUAACAUAAGGGGCACCGUUAUAAGUUAAAACCGUUAGAGUUUGUGAUCAUAAAAAAAAAAUAGAAUAAAAAGUGAGCUAGAAACUAAAUGAAAGUAGCCACUUCUAUGUAGUCUGGGUUGGGGAUAGUGACUCUACAGCCGGAUUACCGCUAGGGUGUGUGAAAUCGACCGUACAAAGCAAUAAAAAGAAAAAAAAAUAAUAGAAAGUACUGAAACUAAGUAGUCUGUGGUUGGGGAUAGCGACUCUACAGCCGGAUUGCUUCUUGGUUUGGAAAAGCACCGUCUAGACUCACGGGAAAAAAAAUGAAAAAAAAAAGAGAAAAAAAAUGGAAAAAAAUCUGAUUGUAAACUCUCCUGGUUUUGAUAUAAGACGGUCGGGAAUUGGUCCAAUGGGCCUGUGAUUUCUAGUGUGAGACCCUAGGUGGAUUGACCCAUAUUUGAACCUAAACUUGCAUGAUAAGAGCUCGGAACCGGGUUGGGUUUAAGAGGACAAGUAUACUUGCAAUCGCAGCUAACACAUGUCUCGGUUUUAAAUAAAUUAACAUAAGCUUUUGGCCCGAACGAUUAUCUUGACUAUGAUUCCGUUUGCAUAAUUCUUUUUCGGGGACGAAAAAAGGUUAAGUGUG
rnacentral:lncRNA from 1 species